ACAUUCUGGUCUUAUUUAAAGACUCAGCAAAAUAGGAUAGCAUCCAUGUGGAAAGGAGGGAGAAAAUGGAGUGAGCACUUCUGGCGCUCUGGAAACUUCUGGAUGUCUCUUGAACAAUUAUUUGGGAAGAAGAAAAUGGCUGGGAAAGUUUGGCUGGACCACCUCUUCCUGCAGGAACUCCACUGGAAGUUCAAGGCAGAAGGGUGAGUUCAGCUCACAUCUGCACUGCAUGCCUCAGAAGGUCACAAGACCCUCAGUUACAAGACCUUUUAAGGAUUUAUUGACCAAUAAAACACUGCCAACAAGGAUAUUUAUGUUUUUGACCCAAUCCUUAAAUAUUUCAUUUCAUGGAGCCAUGCUACAGUGUGAGCUUCCUUAGCCACUCAUGUUAUGGCACA